GUCUAUGGGCAUAUCACCCUGAACACACCCAGUCUCAUCUGAUCCUGAAGCUAAGCAGGAUCAAUCCUGGUUAGUACUUGGAUGGCAGAAGAAAUACAUAGGACUAAGAUU
rnacentral:rRNA from 1 species